rnacentral:rRNA from 1 species
CACGUAGGGUGCGAGCGUUGUCCGGAAUUAUUGGGCGUAAAGAGCUCGUAGGCGGUGUGUCGCGUCGGCCGUGAAAACCUGCAGCUUAACUGUGGGCGUGCGGUCGAUACGGGCAUCACUGGAGUUCGGCAGGGGAGACUGGAAUUCCUGGUGUAGCGGUGAAAUGCGCAGAUAUCAGGAGGAACACCGGUGGCGAAGGCGGGUCUCUGGGCCGAUACUGACGUUGAGGAGCGAAAGCGUGGGGAGCAAACAGG